rnacentral:rRNA from 1 species
GAUGAAUGCUGACAGAAUGCUUAACACAUGCAAGUCUACUUGAACUUCGGUUUGGGUGGCGGACGGGUGAGUAACGCGUAAAGAACUUGCCUCACAGAUAGGGACAACAUUUGGAAACGAAUGCUAAUACCUGAUAUUAUGAUUUUAGGGCAUCCUAGAAUUAUGAAAGCUAUAUGCACUGUGAGAGAGCUUUGCGUCCCAUUAGCUAGUUGGAGAGGUAACGGCUCACCAAGGCGAUGAUGGGUAGCCGGCCUGAGAGGGUGAUCGGCCACAAGGGGACUGAGACACGGCCCUUACUCCUACGGGAGGCAGCAGUGGGGAAUAUUGGACAAUGGACCAAGAGUCUGAUCCAGCAAUUCUGUGUGCACGAUGAAGUUUUUCGGAAUGUAAAGUGCUUUCAGUUGGGAAGAAAAAAAUGACGGUACCAACAGAAGAAGUGACGGCUAAAUACGUG